CUUAAACACAGGGACCAAUGCCUUGCUUGUCACUUGAGAUCCAGGGAGGUAUGACAGCUUCCAGGAAAUUCCUGUUUCUGAAAAGAAACCUAGUUUAGAAUGAAAUUGGGAGACAGCAGAGGGAACUUCCAAGCCCCACCCCUCCUUGUCAAUUGCAGACCCAACAGGUGGAUACUUCUUUACUAUUCCAGCAGGAGGAAUAAAGUUCCACCCACCUACACCACCCCCGCCCACAACCGCGCAGCCAAUGAGAGACAGUCACAACUCAGCCAAUGAAGAGCCACUAUAUUUCGAACUCCUCGUUUACGCCAAUGGACUUUUUGUUUAUAAUAGCCUGCUCGGCACCCUCCCCCCUCUCCUCAAUAAAAGUCCAAGUGUUCUCUGAAAAGGCGGUAUAUACAAAAUGACCUUAAAAGGUGUGAUGCUGAAGAAAAAGGCUCACAAGUGCGGCUUGACGGGAAAUGGUUUAUUAAAGGGACUUACGGACAGAAGUGUGUCUUGCGGAGUGGCAAAACUAGUAGAUCUCUGCAGUCCCAUCUCCGGCACCUUGUAAGGCCCCUUUUGAAGGUAGAUGUGGCCCGUGGCUUCACUUGAUCUGCGUACUGGGGCAGAAGUGAUGAGGUAUAGGGAUGCAGCCACCCCUCCGCACUCCCCAUUCCCAGCCCCGUCACAGUGAGCAUGUUCUGUGAUGGGGCCUUCAGCUUCGUUGAGUGACGAUGAGCAGAGCCCCAUUGUGGCCCAAGUAUGAACAAGAAAUAAGUUGAGCACCCUUUCAGAGCAAAAUUUGCUUGAAACUUGCUGGCUACUCAGUUCCUCUGUAGCACAGAUCCACUUCAGGCUGGGCCCUGUCAUCUCAACAACAUUCACUGGAGCCCUGAUUCACGCCGGGCAUUAAUGACAGAUGGGAUGGGGAGGCAAAGUCUCUGUCACUAAAGAGAUCACCAGACUAUAAACAAAUGAUUAUCAAAGAGAUGGCGGGUGUAUGGCUAAGGAACAUUUUGUCCCAUGAGAUAUGAAGGGAGAGUAGCUGCCUGGAAGAUGUGGGCCCAGGACUGGAAAACAUUAUCCAUACUGUUUGGCACAAGGUUGGGAUCAAAUGUGAACUGUUACAUCUAACGCUCAUAUUACCUACAAGUUGAACAAGGACUACAAAGGCUCAUGGGACAGGAAUGCCGGCACAUCUUUUCUGUGCUAAUGAUUCUCAGCCUCCAUCCUAGGAUCCGGAACUCCAGACUUGCAUUCGUAUCUCCAUCCUGGACACUUUCAGUCUCAAGUUCCAUGGAAAAUUUCUCAAGGGUGUGAUCAUUUGCUUUAUGCAAUUGGCCUCAUGAUUUAGUGCAUCUAAAGAAAAUCCUUUACCUUUUUUUUUCUUUUUGGAAGAUAGAAGCCACAUCCCUAAGCAAGGCAAGCAAGUCAAGGAACUCUUCACAUUCUGGUGUUUUCCAUUUCUUCUCGUACGGAGCUUUUAUUUAAUAACAAAAUCUUACUACCAUCUUUGAAUCUGUGGUCAAAUUUUCUACUGUGAUCUGACCCAUCUUGGACGAAUCUGGAGCACCACAGAGCCCAGGAACGUGGAGGGGCCCUCAGACCAGGACCGAGUAUUCAUGGGAAGAUGGAGACCUGAGAUGAGCCAUGGCCCAGAGUAGCCAUUACAGCAUGUCCAUGGUGAGUCACAUCUAUCUUGAAGGGGAGCAUGCACAGGGUUUCCUUCUAAGAAGAUAGAUGGUACUGAAAGUUGGAGUCCUUUCAUAUUUUUUUCUUUUAGUGCUCAUACACAAUAAUCUAUUAACUUCUGAUUCAAGAUAGAAAACAUGAAUUUGUCUUUUCCCACCUAAAAACCCAUUACAUGACAGGGAAAAAAAAAGAUACAAGUGAGAAAACGAGGGGGAUAUCAGUGUAACAGGAAUAUCAACACAUUUCUGAGAGAAAGGAAGUGGAUGGAGAAGUAGUUCUGAUGAUGCAGGGUGCAGGAAGUUGCACCCUGGAAUGUGCUAGAGGACUGAGAGACAGAGUUGGGUAGAGUCAGAACCCAAGAGAACCAUAAGGCUUGGAAACACCAGGAAUGGCCAUUGGAAGAAAGAUGACUUGGGCUUGAAAACUGGGAAAUAGAUGGCAGUUCUAUAAGUAGAACAUUGGACCCUGCUUACAUGCUCUCCCACCCCAUCCCCACACCAAAACCCCAGCUAGCAGGCAUCUGCCUCUCAAGCGACUGUUUAGAAUGUAUUUCCAAUAUCUGCACUCUGGGCAGCUGAUUUCUGGAUCAGCCUGGAGUCAAGCUCUCCAAUAAACAAGCCCAGCACAUAUUCACAGAGCCCCAAUCAGGUCUUUGUGGCUCAUUCCUAAAAGCAAAUAAGUAUUACCAGGUAUUUGAAAGCCUGUAAGAUGAAAGUGCUAAAACAAGAAGCCACAGUUAUGAAAAGAAUCACCAGGGGGCACCUGAGUGGCUCAAUCCGUUAAGCGUCCGACUUUGGCUCAGGUCACUAUCUCACGGUUUGUGGGUUUGAGCCCCGCGUCAGGCUCUGUGCUGACACCUGUCUGUCCCUGCCCUGCUCACGCUCUCCCUCUCCUUCAAAAAUAAGUAAAAAAAUAAAUAAAUAAAUAAAAAAUUAAAAAAAAACCACCAGGAAGCAAGAAUGAGCUCUGGAAUUAAAUAUAUAAUUGGUCAAAUAAUUCAAUAAAAGAAUAGUAAGAUAAAGAUGGAAGAUAUGAGAGGAUUUGCAACACUCGAGUAAUAGAAAUUCCAAAUGGGUCAGACAGAGGGUGGAUGAUUAUAAGAGUGGUAAGAGACUUGGCCAGAGCUGAAGGACACUAGUUGCCAGACGAAAAGAAUCCACCAAGUUCCAAACACGUGAAUGAUAAAUCUGUGUGAAAUUUCAAAACUCCAUGAAUAAAGAGAAGAUUCUAAAAGAUUUCAAAGAUGGAAGGGAAAGAGGGGACUUCCAAAUUAGACCUGAAAACCAGACUCACGUGGGAUUGCUCAUCUGUAGUCGUAGGUACUGGAAGACCACAGAAGAAUAAAACCUUUCGAGUUCUGAUAGGAAGUGUUAUCAGUCUUUUACUUUUAUAUCCUGUGAAGUGCAAGGGCAGACUAAAAACAUUUUCAGACAAACAAGUAACAAGGACUUUUAUCUCCAACAUAGUCCCGAUGAGGAAAUUCCUGAGGAUGUACUCAAAUAAGACCAGUGAGUAAAUCAACAAAUCAACAGACUUGGAAUUCAAGCCAGGAGGGAAGUGAAAGGACAAGAACUCUGCAGCUAGGACAGGCUGGAGCAGGAGGAUGGGGGAUUACAGGAGGAGGGGGCUGCAGAAAGUACGGAUUCCAGGGAUUUGCUAUCCUUGAGGAUUUGGAGACACUUCAGGAGAAAAGCCAUGUUUAUUUCUAGAAAACUAUUUUCUUCCAUCUCUAAAAAAAAUUGCUUCAGAAUCCUUCCCUGAUGAAUCUAUUCUAUAAUUCUCUACUCAGUGUCCUUUCUAAGAGAUUUUCAGGAGCUGGCUGUUCCAGCAGAACCUACUCAGAAUUUGGGGGUGUGAGGCCUGAAACUCCCUCGCAGGCAUCUGUUGACAAGAAUUGCUAUUCACAAGGGGGGAUAGGCUUUGGAGCUGAGGAAAGUUGGUGCCUAGAGGAGAGAAAGGAAAACUACAAAGAAAGAAUUACAUGAUACUUGUUUCCUAACUAGCUCAGGGUUCCUCUUCAAUCAGCCAUUUAGUCUGGGUAGGGCUCAGCCCUCAAGUCUAAGGAAGGAACAUACACACCAGGCUUAAGUCAAACAAUACAUACUGUUCUCUAGUGACAACAUUGGCUAAGGGGCAGUACGUGCCAUAAGAUGUCCGAUCACAAGGAAUUUAGGACAUUAGCUGGAAAUGUUGAGGCAAAGAUUUUCACUCUUUCCUGCUGGUCUUAAACCUGGAAUGACGUAGUCUUAGAAGUUACUGGCUGCCAUACGACAAUAAGAGGGCAGAGAGAGCCUCUCUGUGGUUGAGACUGACACACAGUGGGGAGCAGAACCAAAAGAUGGAGAGGACUUAUGUCCUGAUGAUAUUUUAUAAGCUCCUGCUUUAAGCCACACCAAUGGCCAACCCUGUUCUGGGACUUUUAUGAAGUCCAUAAACUCACUAUCUGUGGAAGUCUGGGUCAAGUUUCCUCUUGUAUAAAACAGAAAUAUUCU